UAGUCUUCUAACUAUAUAAUGUACUCUAUUGUUCAUAUUGAAAUAAGAUUGAUUCUCCUUUUUCUCUCUCAAGCCUUACUCUUUGUGUGAUUCUCAAGCUCAUGAGUUCUUCCAUGGCUGCUUACAUGGUAUAAGAGCCUCCAUUAUUAACAUGAAGUAUUCCUUUCCUCAACUCAAUGCAGCAAGCUUGCAUGAAGUUAUCUCAUCUAGUUCAGAUCUGAGUCGCGAAAACAUAGCAAUCGAAGAGGAGCAAAUAAACACAAAUGAAGUGUAUGUUUAACAGACAAUUCACGCCAUUCCUACACAAUCACAAUCACCCGCUUUUUUCUGAAGCCAACUGACACUCUAGGAGUCAAAUAACAAGGCCUACUCAAUGUUGAUUGAUCAGGAGAGCCAGAGAACAUUGGUCAAAUUUACCCAGGGGAUGCACAUUGGUGAUACACAUGAUAGAACUGCUUUGUUAAGUAAAACCAGACCUAGUCAGAAUGAUGUUACUGCAUUAUUUGGCAACAAUAGAAUCACUAAUCAUAUGAGUGGGAGUGGAGCUUCACAUCAUGGUGCUAGUAGUAACUACAACUAUAAAGGAAAAAUUCUUGGUCUUGUAUGAAGUUUGUGGUUUCGAAGGACACACAAUGGAUACCUAUUACAGGAUUGGUGGUUAUCUCGCUGAUUGUAAAGUCAAAAAGAAGGGGUGCGAGCAUAUUACCAGUUCAACCAUGAAGGUACUAUUCCCUUUGCCAAUCAUACUAGUGUUCUGAAUGCAGGCACAUGAACAAGCAGUCAACUCAGCUACUGGCACAUGAACAAGCAGUCAAUUCAGCUACUGGCAUCAACAAAUUGGUCAUCAAUUACGUCUGUAGCAAUUUCCCAUCGAAGGUUACUCACUAAACCUCCAUAUACUAUUAAAAUUAGCCAAAAUUACUAAUCUUUGUGAUACCUUAUAUUCUCUUCAUUUCCGGCUCCCUGUGGAGAUUUGUGAGGUAUGUGUUUGUCUUCUCAGCGAACGUUCUUACUCCUAUUUAUGAUUUUGUUUUAGUUGAAAGACAAUGUCAUAUUAGACUUGCGUAUUUUAUUUCAUUCUAAUAUUUAAAUUAGAGUCUUGUACACAUGACAAUCAAAUUUUAGGGGUAUUUCUUUGAGUUGAUUAUAAAAUUUCUGCAUUUUUAUUAUAA